rnacentral:lncRNA from 1 species
GUAAUGUCCGGGCCCAAUACAGACCGGGCCCAAUACUGUAGGGCCCAGUUAAAUAGUAUUGGGCCAGGGAAGGGUUAGCAGGCCUUGCAGGCCCAAGAAGAGUAGGCUGCCAUCUCCCCGAGGGCUGAAAGGACAGUACCACCAGGUGGCCAACGGAGAGAACCCCCCACAGAGCAUGCACAACAGAAAACCGCCACCUCCUCCUUCCCUCGGCAGCCGAGCUGUGAGCUGGCCGGAAGGGGAGGGCAGCUGGUGGCUC